UACAGAGGGUGCAAGCGUUGUUCGGAAUUAUUGGGCGUAAAGGGCGCGUAGGCGGUGCCACAAGUCACCUGUGAAAUCUCCGGGCUUAACUCGGAGCCUGCAGGCGAAACUGUGGUGCUGGAGUGUGGGAGAGGUGCGUGGAAUUCCCGGUGUAGCGGUGAAAUGCGCAGAUAUCAGGAAGAACACCCGUGGCGAAGGCGGUUCUCUGGGACGGUACUGACGCUGAGACGCGAAAGCGUGGGGAGCGAACAGG
rnacentral:rRNA from 1 species